rnacentral:rRNA from 1 species
GGGUUGUGAGGUUAAGCGACUAAGCGUACACGGUGGAUGCCCUGGCAGUCAGAGGCGAUGAAGGACGUGCUAAUCUGCGAUAAGCGUCGGUAAGGUGAUAUGAACCGUUAUAACCGGCGAUUUCCGAAUGGGGAAACCCAGUGUGAUUCGUCACACUAUCAUUAACUGAAUCCAUAGGUUAAUGAGGCGAACCGGGGGAACUGAAACAUCUAAGUACCCCGAGGAAAAGAAAUCAACCGAGAUUCCCCCAGUAGCGGCGAGCGAACGGGGAGCAGCCCAGAGCCUGAAUCAGUGUGUGUGUUAGUGGAAGCGUCUGGAAAGGCGCGCGAUACAGGGUGACAGCCCCGUACACAAAAAUGCACAUACUGUGAGCUCGAUGAGUAGGGCGGGACACGUGGUAUCCUGUCUGAAUAUGGGGGGACCAUCCUCCAAGGCUAAAUACUCCUGACUGACCGAUAGUGAACCAGUACCGUGAGGGAAAGGCGAAAAGAACCCCGGCGAGGGGAGUGAAAAAGAACCUGAAACCGUGUACGUACAAGCAGUGGGAGCACGCUUAGGCGUGUGACUGCGUACCUUUUGUAUAAUGGGUCAGCGACUUAUAUUCUGUAGCAAGGUUAACCGAAUAGGGGAGCCGAAGGGAAACCGAGUCUUAACUGGGCGUUAAGUUGCAGGGUAUAGACCCGAAACCCGGUGAUCUAGCCAUGGGCAGGUUGAAGGUUGGGUAACACUAACUGGAGGACCGAACCGACUAAUGUUGAAAAAUUAGCGGAUGACUUGUGGCUGGGGGUGAAAGGCCAAUCAAACCGGGAGAUAGCUGGUUCUCCCCGAAAGCUAUUUAGGUAGCGCCUCGUGAAUUCAUCUCCGGGGGUAGAGCACUGUUUCGGCAAGGGGGUCAUCCCGACUUACCAACCCGAUGCAAACUGCGAAUACCGGAGAAUGUUAUCACGGGAGACACACGGCGGGUGCUAACGUCCGUCGUGAAGAGGGAAACAACCCAGACCGCCAGCUAAGGUCCCAAAGUCAUGGUUAAGUGGGAAACGAUGUGGGAAGGCCCAGACAGCCAGGAUGUUGGCUUAGAAGCAGCCAUCAUUUAAAGAAAGCGUAAUAGCUCACUGGUCGAGUCGGCCUGCGCGGAAGAUGUAACGGGGCUAAACCAUGCACCGAAGCUGCGGCAGCGACGCUUAUGCGUUGUUGGGUAGGGGAGCGUUCUGUAAGCCUGCGAAGGUGUGCUGUGAGGCAUGCUGGAGGUAUCAGAAGUGCGAAUGCUGACAUAAGUAACGAUAAAGCGGGUGAAAAGCCCGCUCGCCGGAAGACCAAGGGUUCCUGUCCAACGUUAAUCGGGGCAGGGUGAGUCGACCCCUAAGGCGAGGCCGAAAGGCGUAGUCGAUGGGAAACAGGUUAAUAUUCCUGUACUUGGUGUUACUGCGAAGGGGGGACGGAGAAGGCUAUGUUGGCCGGGCGACGGUUGUCCCGGUUUAAGCGUGUAGGCUGGUUUUCCAGGCAAAUCCGGAAAACUAAGGCUGAGGCGUGAUGACGAGGCACUACGGUGCUGAAGCAACAAAUGCCCUGCUUCCAGGAAAAGCCUCUAAGCAUCAGGUAACAUCAAAUCGUACCCCAAACCGACACAGGUGGUCAGGUAGAGAAUACCAAGGCGCUUGAGAGAACUCGGGUGAAGGAACUAGGCAAAAUGGUGCCGUAACUUCGGGAGAAGGCACGCUGAUAUGUAGGUGAAGUCCCUCGCGGAUGGAGCUGAAAUCAGUCGAAGAUACCAGCUGGCUGCAACUGUUUAUUAAAAACACAGCACUGUGCAAACACGAAAGUGGACGUAUACGGUGUGACGCCUGCCCGGUGCCGGAAGGUUAAUUGAUGGGGUCAGCGCAAGCGAAGCUCUUGAUCGAAGCCCCGGUAAACGGCGGCCGUAACUAUAACGGUCCUAAGGUAGCGAAAUUCCUUGUCGGGUAAGUUCCGACCUGCACGAAUGGCGUAAUGAUGGCCAGGCUGUCUCCACCCGAGACUCAGUGAAAUUGAACUCGCUGUGAAGAUGCAGUGUACCCGCGGCAAGACGGAAAGACCCCGUGAACCUUUACUAUAGCUUGACACUGAACAUUGAGCCUUGAUGUGUAGGAUAGGUGGGAGGCUUUGAAGUGUGGACGCCAGUCUGCAUGGAGCCGACCUUGAAAUACCACCCUUUAAUGUUUGAUGUUCUAACGUGACCCGUAAUCCGGGUUGCGGACAGUGUCUGGUGGGUAGUUUGACUGGGGCGGUCUCCUCCUAAAGAGUAACGGAGGAGCACGAAGGUUGGCUAAUCCUGGUCGGACAUCAGGAGGUUAGUGCAAUGGCAUAAGCCAGCUUGACUGCGAGCGUGACGGCGCGAGCAGGUGCGAAAGCAGGUCAUAGUGAUCCGGUGGUUCUGAAUGGAAGGGCCAUCGCUCAACGGAUAAAAGGUACUCCGGGGAUAACAGGCUGAUACCGCCCAAGAGUUCAUAUCGACGGCGGUGUUUGGCACCUCGAUGUCGGCUCAUCACAUCCUGGGGCUGAAGUAGGUCCCAAGGGUAUGGCUGUUCGCCAUUUAAAGUGGUACGCGAGCUGGGUUUAGAACGUCGUGAGACAGUUCGGUCCCUAUCUGCCGUGGGCGCUGGAGAACUGAGGGGGGCUGCUCCUAGUACGAGAGGACCGGAGUGGACGCAUCACUGGUGUUCGGGUUGUCAUGCCAAUGGCACUGCCCGGUAGCUAAAUGCGGAAGAGAUAAGUGCUGAAAGCAUCUAAGCACGAAACUUGCCCCGAGAUGAGUUCUCCCUGACUCCUUGAGAGUCCUGAAGGAACGUUGAAGACGACGACGUUGAUAGGCCGGGUGUGUAAGCGCAGCGAUGCGUUGAGCUAACCGGUACUAAUGAACCGUGAGGCUUAACCUUACAACGCCGAAG